GACCACUCCAGUGGCCUAGUUGUUAGAGCGUCUGCCUCGGAUGCAGGAGGUCGUUGGUUCGAUUCCCUUUCGAGUCA